rnacentral:rRNA from 1 species
AAAUAGAUACCCCGGGUGGUCCUAGCCGUAAACGAUGAACACUAGGCGUAGUCGGUAUCGACCCCCGGCUGUGCCGUAGCUAACGCAUUAAGUGUUCCGCCUGGGGAGUACGGCCGCAAGGCUAAAACUCAAAGGAAUUGACGGGGGCCCGGCACAAGCAGCGGAGCGUGUGGUUUAAUUCGUCGCAACGCGAAGAACCUUACCAGGGCUUGACAUGUGGCGGAAAACGGCGGAAACGUCGUCCUCCCGCAAGGGACCGUCAUGCAGGUGUUGCAUGGCUGUCGUCAGCUCGUGUCGUGAGAUGUUGGGUUAAGUCCCGCAACGAGCGCAACCCCCGUGGCAUCGUUGUAUCUCUCAUGCCAGACUGCCGAGAGAAACUCGGAGGAAGGUGGGGAUGACGCCAAGUCAGCAUGGCCCUUACGUCCUGGGCUACACACACGCUACAAUGGCCGGUACAACGGGUUGCCAAACCGCGAGGUGGAGCUAAUCCCGUUAAAGCCGGUCUCAGUUCGGAUUGCAGGCUGCAACUCGCCUGCAUGAAGCCGGU